AGAUUGAAGAGCAUCGACGGCGACCACAUCCUUCAAGUCCACGUCGAAGGUAUAACGGGUCGGCAUCAAGUGCUGAUAGUUAACGAGCUUGAUGAAGGCCUUUCACUCUGGAUUUUUUGGCAGUCUUUUUGGUCGAGUCCUUUCGUGAUGACCUUGCUCGGGUACUUCUUGAUCCCUGCAACUAAGCAAUGGCCAUAGGGACGGUCUCUGUUUCCCUCAUCGAAUGACUUGACAAUAACCGCCUUUCGGCCGGCAUAGCGGCCCUGGAGGACGAUGACGGCCUUAUUUGGCUUCAGGAACUUCACCAUUUUCUCCCUCUCUCCUCUCUCCCGACUUCGCCUCUCCGUAAACCCUAAAUGCGUUUUGGGAUAAACAGAAAUAUAUUUAUAGCACUGGCACACACAGUGAAACCCUAGAAAUCUCUAGUUUGGGCUGGAGAAAUAUGGGCUGCGACUUGCGGGCUUUUCUAGGUCCGUUUCCUCCUAUAAUAUUUUCACAUAAUGCAAACACGCAAGGGAUUAAACUUGAAGUGUUUUAACAAUGAACAUCACUUUUUUUUUUCUAUUUUAAUUGACUUAUGUGUUUUAAAAUAUUUUCUAUAAAAUAAAUUUAUUGAGAAUAUUUUUUAUCUAAAAAUUCAAUUUUUUCGUUGAAUCUUAUAAUUUUGUUGUGAGAUUUAUUAUUAUUAUUAUUUUAUUAACGUCUAAUAAAAAUUUCUCAAACACGCAUUGUAAUAUUAAAACGACUCGCAUCGUAGCAUUAAAAGGACUAAAGGUAUGAGAGUACAAAUAAAUUAUUUAAAUAUAUAAAAAUUAUUUAUAAUUUAAUUGUAAAAUAAUGAAAAUUUAAUUAUAAGUAAACUUUAAAAGACUUGACAUGAUACUUUUUAAAUAAAUUCUAGAAAAAAUAAUUCAUUUAUUUCCAACCCCUUUCUUCAAUUCUUGUUUUUUUUUUUUUUUUUUUGUGCAAAAUAGUUUUAGAUGAGAAACUAAGAGAUGAUGGAAUGAAGAUAGUCUUGAUUAAACAUGAUCAGCAGUGUCAUUAAGAAGACAUAAUACAGAAAUUGUCAUUUCUAAAAGAAUUUAAAUUACAUUCUCCAAUUUUACAUUAUAUUCUAGAUGAGAUACACACAAAUUUCACGAGAUUUUUAAAUUUGUUCUAAACAUAAUACAAAGUAUAAUUAAAUUAAUUGACCCUUUUAUAAAUUAAACAAAUGCAAGUAACACAGAAGUUACACCAAAAGUUAUUUCAGGACCUUAAAUUGCCAAUGAGUAUAAAGCAUACACAGCAAAUAGUAUAAAGAUAUCACCUUUCUUUACUCCUGCCUCUCAUGGCCAGGCUCUCUCUUCCCAUUCCUCUGCCAGAUUAGCCAAAAACCAAUUAUCUCAACCUGGUUCUGGUGGCACAUAACCAUUGCCUGGAUGUCUGAAGAUCAUCACCUGGUGGUGGUUGGCACAUGCCAACUACCAUUUUCUGAUUCCUGCAGUACCUCACAGCAUUAUUAAAGUAACUAUGAAAGGAGUUCCAUAUGAAAAAAGGAAUAAUGUAUACCAGUAGUAAUUAACUAGAGCAAUCCUCACCUGAAUAACAAUUGAAUAAGGGGGAGGCAUGUGGAGUUUAAGUCCAUUCCUUGAGACCGACAGUCGAAUCUGCAAAUUAGAGAGCCAAGCAUAGUUUAGAAUUCCUUUUUCUUCAAAUUGCAUACAUGCUUUAGUAACAUAACGUCCAUAAUCAUGGAUUCCCAUGUUUGUAAAGAUGUUAUUCUUCUUGAAGGUUCAACUACUGACAGCUCCUAUUAAGAUGGGGCAACAGGGAAUCAUUUUCACAUGGAUAAAAUAUAUGCUCCUACAGCAGCAAAUUUUCUCGGGCAUCCGGACCUCCUUAAAUUGUUAUCAUUAUGGUUCGUCAUGGAUUGUAACGGUUCAAUGUUUUCUAGACCAGUAAUUCAGGCCAAGUUCAUCUUGGGUUGAAAAGAGGAGAAGGAAGAGGAAAAGUACCUGAUGUUUUUCCUUCCAUCUUGGGAAAAAACUAGUCCCUAGCAACUGGAACAAGUGGUCCCUCAUUUCAUCAUUUGUAACCAAUAAACACUUGCAACUAACAGAGGCGUAUAGCCAAUACCUGUAAAGGAAAGUUCCAAGCAAACUUUGCAAAUGAUGGAUUGAGAAGAUCAUAAUCGUACAGUUGCAGUAGAAACUCUAAAUGAAGAUUAACUCUAAAUUGACUGUUAACAAAUUUCAGUCAAUUGCUACAACUGCUAAAACAGCCGCAAUGAAUACAAAAAGACUAACAACAAAUAUAUAGUACAAUCUUAACCUGUAACCCAGUCAUGGAUUAUCACAUAUAUCUACAUUCAGAUUUUCAUGGUUGAUUAAUCUCACUGAGAACUCCAAAAGUGUGGCUAUCUGAUGAUGUCUGUCAAUGUCAUGGUCAAAAGAUCAUAUACAUGAUAGAAAAUGUGAUCCCAGGUUAUUAUACCAUUUGGGCAACAAAUAAGGUUCCAUAAUCGGCCAGUCUAACAUUAGGAUUUGGAGCAAAGGACUUUCGAUAUGAUUAGAGUUCCACAUUUCUGAGGGGGCUGAACAUCCUUCUCAACCCCCAAAUGAAAUAAUUUCACAGAGAUAAGAUCAGUAUGCAUAGCUUAACAUGGAAAGCAAGAGGAAAUCAUAGACGUGCUGAAAAGAUCAGACUAACAAUAUUCCUAGGAACAUAUAUUUGUGAGGAAGCAAAUAUCCACUGUAGGCUUAGCACCCUCUGGUUCAUUUCAAAGCACACGCCAAGACAGAGUAUCAGAAGUCGAGAGCACAUUAAAGAAAGAAAAAGAUAGCAAUAUGAAUAUGGCUUAGUUCAUAAAUUUAACCCAAUUCAUCAAUAGUUCAUGAUAUAGAGACCAACCAAUCAUCAUUUGAACCAGGAGGAGUAGCAUAUAGUGCACCAGACUUUUUCCAGCUUUCUAACAAGUACUUGUUUUUAGGCUUCUGAGCAGGACCUCCAGUUGCACGACUUUUAUGCAAAAUAACAAGUGGCAAUCUCUUUGAUGGGCUCAUUUCACGUAAUUGAUUGACCACGUUAUUAAGCUACAAUCAAAUGAUAUCCAAUUAGUGUCACAAGGAACAGAAUGUGGAGUCUCCUAAAGUGUACUCGCGGAGUCUUGCUUACCUGGUUAAAGCUGAGAGUAUGUUGAUUAAUAAGGCCAACAUUAGCACCAUCUAUAACAGCAUCAAAUGGACCAUGUGUUUCCAGCCACUCCUGCACGAGUUCACCUUCAAAUCAGCAAGUCAUCACUGACAAUAAUUUUAACAUAGCAAUAGCAAUUGAAAGUAGCAAAAACUGGAUUACUUUUUUAUAAUAUAAGUAACUAAUGAUUUCUUUAUAAAAAAAAGUAAUAAGUAAUGAUGACAAAGGAUGGAAUGUGAAUAUGAACAGAAUCAUUGUAAGUCUAGUAUCAUUCAAAGAAGUAACAGUGUAAAAAUACCCUGCAUCCAUGGGUAUCAACAAAAACACCACCAGAUCUUCUUGUCUACAGAUCCACAUCAAGCAUAUCUCAAUAAGGACUUACAAAGUUAAUUAGGAAGUAAAACCUCUUUGAUAGAAAAUGAAAUAAUCAACAUGUUAUUCCAUUUGUAACCAGCUAGGGAAGAAUGUUUUGAUAAAUCAUAAUUAUUGUAGGAGUCAAAAAUCAAUGUUGAGUUAACUUCUAGCAUCAUUAUGUUUCCAACUACAGAAAACAAAUGUCAUUUAUGAAAUCCAUAACUCAAGGCAUUCCUCCACCAGGCAAUAUUUCUUACCUGGACUUUGGGAUAGUUUUAGAUGCUUUUCCAUACUAUUUUAAUGAAAAAAAAGGGACUUACUGAUAUUUUUCCUGUAUAGGAAACUAUUUGUUAACACCAUAAAAUACAUAAUUGCAUGUCAUUGAAAAAAUAAAAGAGUGAAAGAAACGUGCAUUUAUAAAUUCAAGUGCAACACAGAAAAGAAAAAGAAACUGCAUUUAUUGGUUCAGAAACGGAAAACAAAUGGAAAAUGAUCUUGUACCUGGAAGCAAGUAAAGUCAGCCCUGACCUCUCUUUGGCAAGCCAAAUUUGUUAAUGAGGUAGCAAAAUUUUCGGUCUCUGUUGGGUUGAUAUCAAUACAACCAAGCUUUUCACCACAAGAACGGCAUACACCCUUCUCAUUCAUCUGAGUUCUGACAACGUUCCAUUUGCCAGUCCCUAGCCACCCCUGCCCGUGCCACCCUCCUCCUCCCUUUACAAUUCCCUCCUUUACCAAGUUUUCAUCCCAAUUAUCCACACCAACUGUUGCAGCAUCAUCAGAUUUAAACCAAUCUUCAACAAUCUCAGCAGUUGAUUCAGAGACCUGCCUUACAGUGGCUCGCAGCCGUUGCAACAUCUCAUACACUUUGUCUGCCUUCUUUCCGUCAGCACUAACUUUCAGAAGAGCAGAAAGUUCUGGUUCUUCUGCCAUUACUCCAGCUUCAACCAUGUGAGCAUCAACUUCAUAAGCAUUAUCAACCUUCCCCUUCUUACAGAAACCAAAGAGGGCUGGUCCAUAUGACCUCAGUUUUGGUGGGAUACCGAAACUUGUCAUCUGCUUCACUAAAUCAAAUGCUUUAUCUGGAUCGUCCAUUGCAACAGCCAGCCUCGCUAUACUCGUAAAUGUAGCCUCAUUAGGAGCAACUUUAUCCGCAACCAUCUGUCCGAAAAUGUCAAAGCCCCUCUUAAGCCCCAAAACCGAGUCCUUUUCACCAUCCCAAUCUCCACUUACUUCAACGGAAGAACCACCCGAAGAGCACAAGUAGAGUAUUACAUUGUAAUGGUACUGGCUAAGUUGUACUCCCUCCCUCCGUGCCUCAUCGUAUAGGUGAAGGGCCUCAACGAGGUCUCCGUGCUUCGAGCACAUAUCCAGUUUGUACCUCAGCACUCCCUCAGGAGAUUCUCGCCUUGCUUUCUUCUUUGCCUUGUUGGAAAUUUGAUCGGACGCGGGUACGGCAAAUUUCUUAGCAGCUAUAGCUGCGGUACACAGAUGGGCACGUCCGUCCAUGGGAAAGCGAUGGACCCACGUGGCUGAAGAAGCAACCGAAGAUCGAUAACUAUGGCGGAGAAACAGGCGACGGCUAUUGCGGGGAAAUAACUGCAAUGGAAACUUGAACAUUAACGAUAAGAAUGGAGAAGUCGCUCUACUGAGUGAGGGAGCGAAACAGGUUGCGUGCAGCAUCCCUCCUUGCGUAGUGCGUCACUGUUACUUGUACGUGGGACUCACUCAAUGCGCAAUUCGUGGGUUAUAUUAACUCAGAGCGGAUCCUCUGCGAGAAAGAAGAACACAAAGUUGGCGAGAAAGAAAAAAGAAAAAGAAGACGAAAGGCUACAGAAAUGAACAAUACAAAGUUGGAAAAGAAAAUCCAAAUAAGAGGACGAAAAUAAAAAUGAAAACUCCACAAAUGAACUAUACAAAUAACCCAGCUUGAGUACUACACGACGAAACAAAAACUCGUGCAUAGUUUCCGAUAUUCAAUGACCUUUCAUUACUAUUCUUUUGUGGGCUUGAUGUUUCUUGCUAAUUCCAUGUAGAUACUGCGGUCAUCUCCAUAGUUUUCAGUGGGGCAGUUGGUCGAACACAUGAGUAACCGUAUGAGCUGGUAGUCUACCAAUUCAAGGCAAAUUUCUUGAAAAUUCUGGACAUGCAAGCCUCUAAACUAUGAGCAUUAAAAUCUAAGGCUAUAUAACUAUAUAUACAUGAAUAAACAUACAUAUUUCGUAUUUGCUUUAAUUUUACUACUUCUUUCUUUCUUUCUUUUUUUUUUUGGAGGGGGGCUAAGAUCCCUUCAAUCAUGCACUUGGAUACUUCUGACUUCAACUGAUUCUCCAUAGAUUGAUUUUCACUUCAACAUUUUCCGUGGGUGUCAACUGCCGACAUCUUGACGUGGAGAAACUGGAAAUUAGAGGAUGAUAUCGACAUUUGAUACUCUACUAAAGCGCGCAUGGCAGGAGAAGCUGAAAGAUGCCAUUUGACUCACCGGCAUUAUGUCGAACACGUAGUCGGCAAUCAUGCGAAGCAGCUUUGGUCCACGACGGAAGCCACUGCUGCUCCUUUCAAAUGCUCGCCCGAGCAGUCAACAAUUAGAGCGUGGCCCAAAGCCAUCAGCAUCUUCCUGACUAAUCCACUGAUUCGUUCGGAUUGACUGAAGAGGCGGAAGUUUUGGCUCUUCCCCUUCUGACAGCUCCACCUAUGGGAAACACACUUGUCCAAAUAGUGUAGUAAGAGCGAAUGAUAUUUCUUUUCUGCUAGAGUUUUUCUUUUCUUUUUUUAUUUUUUAUUUUUCACUCGAAAAUAGAUAUAAUACUAAAAAUAAGAAUAAAAUAAGAUGUAUCAGAAAGUUGGUAUUUGCAAAUUUGUCAGUAAAUUACAAAACUGACCUCAUAAUUUAAUCUAUAUUAAAUUUAUUUUGUAUUAUGAAAAUGUAUAUACAAACUUCUCAUUUUGGUAAUAUAAUCAAAAUCAGCAUAUUUUUAGAAAAUGCCUAAAAUAUUUUUUUAUUAUAUGUCAUUUCAUAUUUUAAAAAUCGAUUUAAAUUUUAAAAAUUAAGUAUAUUUAUCUAUCAAUAUUAAAUAAUAAAAAAUAUUUGAUAAAAAAAUUAUCAUAUAAUUAACUAAACAUAUUUAAAAUUUAUUUAAUUAUUUUAAUUAAUUAUAUUGUUUUUUAUUGUCAUUUGCUUUUAGCAAUUUUUUCUUUCAAGAACAUCUUCUACUAAAAGUUAGACGAUAUAUUUUUUACAAAAAUUAAUUAAUUAAAAUUUUAAAUAUUAAUAUAUUAAUCUUUGAUGCAAAGUAAAUUAAUAUUUGUUUUAUUAAUAUAACAUAUGUUGAUUUAUAUAUAUUAUGUAUAUUGAAAUUUAUUUGUUUAUUUAUUAUUAAAUAACUUAACUUUGUAAUAUAAUGAGGAAAAGGAUGUGGUAUUUUAAUGUAUUGUUUGAACACAAAAAAAAUUAAGACUACUCAGGUCUUUUUAAUCUUAUUUAAUAUGUUUUAUUAAUUUAGAAAAUAAGUGUAUAACUCCAAAUAUAAAAGUGUCUUUUUUUAUUUUUUUUUUUGGGAGAAAAUGUUAACUUAAAUUAGUUAUGUAUGUUUCGAGUUUUUAUUUUGAUAGUUUUGACAUUUUAUGAGUAGGGAUAAAAAAAUGUUAGUGGUUUAAUUAGUGGUUAGAAUAUUAAACCAUACAAAUAUAUUUACAUACUCAGUUUAAGACUUGCAGGAGCUAAAUUUUAUGGUAGAAACUGAGCGUUCUUUUUAUUCCUGUAGAGAGUUGUGCUAGAGGACAUAGCUGCAAUAAUUUUCUUUUGCUACAUCAAUUAUUUAUAUUCGGUUAAAAAGGAUUACUUUAAAGUUGGAAUUUUAAAGUAAAUCGAUGAUUGAAGAAAUUAAAAGUGUGAAUGUCAAAUGCAAAUUAUAAAAUGUAAAUAUAAUUAUUUAAAAGUAAAUUUAAGAAUUGUAUAAAAUUACCAUCAAUUAAAAUCCAGCAGCGAAGACCACUGGUUAUUUAUUUGAUAGUUAAUACAUUGGUAUUAAUCCAAUUAAAUAAAAAUAUCAUAUGAAAAAUUAUGUAACUAGAGAAAAAUAAAUAAAGGCAUGACUAGGCUAUAAAAUUUGCUAUUAAUUUAUGCAGAAUUAGAGGGAGUACGAGCGGCAUCAUCAGCUGCAUCAUCGGCGGCAGCUUCAGGUUCAGGAUGAGAUGCAGAAGCAGGUUCAGACCUCUGCACCGAUCUUCUUGAGCCAAAACACAAAUGGUGACAACCGGCAAAUAGUCCCAACGCAACUACAGCAAACACCACGAGCGCCGUCACUAUCCAGUGUUCCAUCCUCCCAACGCUCUUCGAUCAACAAGAAUUUCACUGAAACAAGAUGAAAAUUUCGAAAAAUAAAUUUUCUUUCUACUAAUUAAUAUUAAUAAGCUAAUAUAACACACAUAAGAAAAGCAAAUCACAUUGCCAGCUACUACGAUAAUUAGGCUGCAACAGUAUAUAAGUAGCUCAAUAAAAUUUUAAGAAAGAGAUACAACAACGUUCUAAUUAAUAAAUAAUCUACCAAUUAGUGGAAAACUUGUAAGCGGAAUAUUUUUCUUUUUAUUUUUUUUUUUCCAACUGACGAGGUUAAUUCGUUUCUCUCGAAAUACAUUUAUAGCGCAGGUGAUGCAAAAUAAGAAGAUACAGGUUUGGAAAGAAAAAUCAACUAAAUUUCCAAUUUAUUUAGGCAUGGCAAGAUUUGAAUUUCCUCGAGCUUAGGACUUUAUUAGUGUUUUUUUUUUCCAUAUAACUGUAUUAUUCGAUUUCCUAUUCAGGAUGUAGAUCUUAAGAGUAUAGGAAUCAAAAAAUUUUAUUCUCUCUUACAUAAAUGCAAUUAACCACCUGAAAAGGAAAAUUAGAUGAUGAAUUAAUUAUAUUCUGACCGUGGCUAGUUAGCGGUCAGUGGAUUCAAGGGUCGUACAACGGACACAUCCUCAAGGUAGAUUUCUUCAACCUUUUAAUAGAACCAAAGAAGCUCAUGCAGAGUCGUAGGAAGUAGGUUGCGGUAACUGCGGUCCCCAAACAGUAGUUACUCAUGAAAUAUUCUUUUAUUUAACGAAGAUUAUUCCACCUCUUAUACUUAUUUAAGUAACAUUCCCAAAAAAAAAAAAAAAAAAUCUUAUUUUAGUAAAAUAUCUACCAGUCGGAAAAUACAUCCAAGAGAAGAGACUGCACAAACAUUCUCUUGUUUUACAUGGUCUUUAAGCUAUACAUCAACACAUUAACAAGUUCCAAAUCAGAAAAGAAUACAUUGCAGCCUAAGCAUAUAAAGAUGUGACAGCAACCUUCAUAGUGAUACCUCAGACUCUUAGCCACCACAGCAGGAACCGCAAGCUGGUAGGGCAUCUGGAAUUUAACCACAAAACAUAAAUAUUAUACAUGUUCAAUUUUUUGCUGUCUGUAACAGAUUAAACACUUUGGUGGGUCAAAGUUCAAAAGAAACAAAGGGAAAUAGAUGAACUUACUAUGGUCAAUUCCCCGAACAUUGUCUAGACCACGAGGUGGACGACGUGGACCCCCACCACCACCACCAUAUGGACCACUACCAGGACCUCCAGGUCCACCAUCCCAUUUCUUGCUUGAACCAGAGCCUUUCUUGUAAGUAUUUGACUUCUCCAUCUAAAGCAUGGAGGAAGGGAAGAGUUAGGAACAUCAAGUCUCAAUUUGUUGCGAAUAAAUUGCUUGCAUUACCAACAACUAACCAAAAAGAUUACUGUCUUACCGAGAACAUUGUUGCAAAAAAUGCUCCAAUAAAAUUGACAAUGGCCCAGAAGAAAUCCGUGAUUGUCCUUAGACGCCAUAUUGAUCGCUUGGAUUUCACUACACCUGGACAAACCAAGCAAGUUAACAACUGGAAAAAGUAGAAAUAUGGCAGAGAUAUUGUCCGUAGUUUAUUUACACCCGCACAGGUAUUCAUUAAAAAAUCACAAGCAAUUAUGUAGAUUACACUGAAAACGUCUAUCAAUUGGUAAAAAAGACAGGCUAAAGUAGCGGUUCAGCUGGUUAUACCGCUUAACUGUCAAUAGUGAAAGGUACAUAAUGCACAAGAUAUUUCAAUCAAGUAAUAUACAGAAAACAAAAUGAAUAAAAUAUCCGCAAAGAUGUAAUGGAAUGAAGAAUACAUAGAAAACAAUUCUAUCAUUCUUAAACUUAUCUCAGAUAGUUCAAUCAAGUAAUAUCCAGAAAACAAAAUUAAUAAAAUAUCCGCAAAGAUGUAAUGGAAUGAAGAAUACAUAGAAAACAAUUCUAUCAUUCUUGAAACUUACCUUAGAUAGCUGUAAAUCUUAGAAAUAUCCCUCCUAACAUUACUUUAUAACAUCCAAACUCAAUAUAUAAUAAUUCCUACAAUUUUCUAAAUCAUAUUUGGCUUUGCACAAUUAUGAUUAACAAGUGAUAACUUCCAAGUUGCAAAAUUUUCAAAAGAGUGAAGUGGGAAAAAGGAGCCGUCCAAGAGUAUGGUCUUGAUACAUGUCAGGGAAAGAUUCUUGUAGCUGAUUGCAACAAACUAAAAUCAAGGUUUAAUUGCGUUAGGUUCAGUUGCAAAGGAAAAGAGAAAACUAUCUUUUUGGGUUAAGAGAGAGGGGAAAAAGGCUGAAGAAGAGGGUAAAGAAGCUUCUGAAAAAGAGAAAAUGCAUCCAACGCAAGUAGGCACAAACUCAUCAAUUUGUUACAGGGCAUAAAUUAAAGAAAAACUACACCUUAAAUUGAAGCGUUAUUAAAUUUUUAUAGCUCAAUAUUGCGUUUUUUAACUUUCCAAUAACUUGCAGUCAUAUGUCUUGAUACAUUUGCAAGGAUAAAGGAAAAAAAAUUAACAAAAUGAAUGAAUCAAUUUUUCUUAACAAAUAAAUUCCCCAAACCUAGCAAACAUUAAAUAUUGAUCCAAAACAACGCGGAGCACAUUACCAGAUGACUAAAGGAGCAAUCACAUUACAAACGCCCAAACUUAGCAGCUGUCACUGCUGAAGAACAUCAUUUUGCGUUCGAUUAGAAUGAUCUCAAAUUGCUGCAAUUUCUAGUAAGCAUUGCCAUCCUCACAUAUUCAUUCAAGCGGCAAUUAACGAAGGUCUACCCCCAAAUAAAAAGAACUUCAUGAUCAUAUUAAGAAAACAACGGAAGAGAAUCGCAAACCAAAAGUUAGCGGGAUAGACAUGAUCAGUCACAAACAAAGAAGCGAAAUACGAACUGCUUAAUCUCCUUUUAAUUGCUAGAAAAGGAACCCUAAAAAUCGAAAUACAAAUCAAUCCAACAUAGAAAAAGACCGAAUCCGGUCAUUAUUAAAUAGAAAUGGAAGAUGAUAACCUAACUUUUUAAUCAAGAAUUUUCCCCACAUCAUCGAGAAAAGUGUUAAUUGGAGAGAGAGAGAGAGAGAGAGAGAGAGAGCUGACCUCGCUCAACGUAGGCCAUGAGAGUAAUUCUGGAGACUUCCGAAAAAUGGCAGAAUUCUGGUCUUUAUAUUGGGCACCGAGGCUUGUGAACGAUUCAUUGAUUUAACCGUGAUCUUUAACGGCAAGUUACUUCUUUUGAUUUUCAUUGGCAGGGACACGUCAAGCUUGACGUGGAAAGACACGUGUCGCAUUUUUAUUGGCUAUUAGUACGGCAUUUAUAUUACUUUUAAUGACAUGUCAGACCGUUAGGUGUCAUACCUGGCACAGACCACUCUUGGUCUCGUAAAAGUUCUUUUCUUGCAACAACCUAAAAUGAUUAAUCAUAUCCAAUGUAAGAGAACAACCGAGUUUAGUGCAAUGGUUAUAUUUGCUAUUCUUUUACAUUUGAGUUAAUUUCAAUUUUAGAAGAAAGAAAGAUCAUGUCUAGUCCCAUACAAAUUUUCAAAAUAAUCCACCUUAAGGUGGAACUCUGUAAAAAUACUGAAAGCAGUUCAUGAAUUAUGGCAAUCUUUAAUAAGGGCAUUUUUGUUCCUUUCCAUUUGCAUCAUGAACAUGUUCAUUUUCACCUUCAAAUUGAAAGACUUUGGUUGGGUUUCAUGCUGUAUCUUAGCCGCCCAUGUUUUCAUGUCCUCAAAUGCUUCCCAUGUCUUGCUUUCCUUUUUCCAGUCCCAUACACACUUGAAAGUUGAGAAGUUGCAGAAAUUGUUCAGUUUAUUGGACCCUUCAAAUUUCUAGAGAAAAAAAAAAGAAACAGAAUCCAACAAUCAGAUAAGACGGAUAAAACACAUUUCAAUAUAGACAAUCAAAUGAAUAGACAACAGAGCAAAAUAUAUCAAAUGAAAAAUACAGGAGAACACAUUCAGAACAUGAGUCAGCUGUAGAAACGUACUUUGAAUUUUUACUUUUUUAGAAUUCACAUAUGUUUGUAUUUCAGAAUUAACAGUUGUGGAAAAUGAAGAUUGAAAAAAAUGGAGGUCUCCAGGUGAUUUACUCUUAGUAUAUAGAAGUUUGUGAACUAAUUUACUCUUUAUGUCCUUGAGGAUGAUGGGCAAUCGGGGACAUGGUAAUCAAAAGAGGCUGAUAGCACAUGAAAAUUUCACUAACCUCCAUGGUUAAAGGAAACAGGUAGAGCAAUCCAUCCGCACGCUCCCGCCUAUCAUGACGUAGAUGAAGACAUUGUUUCACAACAGAAAGUGCUGUCUCUAUAUCAAGAUAUCCAACUUUCACCAUCCUUUUCAGAACUCUAGCUUGGAAUGUCUUCCCUCUGCAACAAAGUAAGAACUUAUCUUCUAGUUUUAUCUGUUUUUCCAUAAGCACCUAUUUAUCCUAUAAAAUACUGGAUAGAGUAUCUGACCAACAAAAGAAGUACUGGACGAGUACAAUGAGUGAAUUGCAAAAGGCUUUAAAUUCUAACACAGCCUAUGAACUAAGCAAUAUUAGUGAAUAGACACAAUAGCAAGCAAGAACAAGUAAAAGGAGUAAUUCAACAACAGAAAACGUACCUGCUAGGGUCCCUAAAUGGUGAUCGAAGUUCCGGUGCAGGUAUGAUCCCAGCAAGCAUUGCUGACUCUCCCAAACUCAGAAGAGAAGGAUGCUUUCCGAAAUAGAAAAGCGAUGCUGACUCGAUUCCAUAAAUACCAUGUCCCCAGUAUAUCUGUGACAUCAAUCAUGUAUGCUUAUUGUCACUAGACACAUGAUUCAGGAAAAACAAAAAUAAACUAGUUCCCAAUAUUGGCAUGUUACUUUUAUCUAGCCAUUGUCCACAUUAUGAUUAACUUUAUUUCAAACGCUUUUUAUCUUCUCUUCCAACUUAUUGGCGAGCACCCAGUCAAUGAUGGUAUCCCAAAAGAACAACCAGACAACAUAUUCCACAAGGAGACAUGUGGCUAAUGUAGCUCGGUUUAACAUAUAACAUGAGCCCAAAAGUCAAAAUGAGUCCAAUAGUCAUCAAGCGGAAAGAAAGCCAGAAGCUAAGUAGGCUAUACCCAUAAUAUCCUGGUUACACUUCAUCUUAUGUUCUUAUCUAUGUUCGUUCAAUAGCCAUUUAUCUCAAACAAUUUUCUGCUCGAACAUUGUUUCAUGUUGCACGAAAUAAUAAGUUAAAAUAGGAUAAUAUAUCAAAAAGAGCAACAAUGAAGAAGUCUUAUAACUUUUAGCAAGUGUGAACUUCUUAUAACUCAGGGUGAACAGUGAAGAAGAAAAACCAGCACAAAAAUUGGAAAUCUAAAUGCAGCUAGAAAUAUUGUAGUUGGAUUUUUCCUACAACCACAAAUUAUAUUUUUCUAAAAAUGAAUUUGAAGAAUGCAUUUUGUCAAACAGAAAACAAAUUAAAAAAAAAAACCAUUCACAUAAGUAGUGGAAACAAAUAUAUGUAGUGCCCCUUAAACUAAGGGAUAUGGCUUCCUUUUAAUUAAAAAAUAAAUAAAUAAACAAAUAAGGGAUGAUGAAAGAAGCAUAAGGCAAGAAAAGAGACCUUACUCAGGUAUGUGCUUAAUAUUCCUUGUUUUGACACUUUCCUUUCAAGUGCUACUGCCAACACCAUCUCAACAAUCUUUCUUGAGAAGGUGGGCUCAUUUCUAAGAAAAGAGUUCUUGACUAGCUGCCAGGGUGAGAAAGAAAACAAAAUUAAACAGUUGUAAUAAAAAAUCAAAAGCUUUCAAAAUCAAUAUAAAACAAAAAAAAACUACAGUAAGACUUAAUUUAGUCUUCCUUCCAGAACUUUGGAAGCUUGUAAUGAUUUCAGUUCCAAAACAGCUACUACAAAGUUUGGCUCAACAAAAAAAUAAGAAUUUCUAGGAAAUAAAAAGCAACAGAAUGUUCUUAUACUCAUUAAGAAAGUAUGCAAAUAAUAUGUGUGCACAAAAAUAAUCUUCAGGAUAUAAUCACUCUGGUAUAGAAUAACUUAUUCCAAUAAGGUAUCUGAAAAAGAGCCGGAUAACCUUCUUCACUGUAUGGAUUAGAUUUUUGCCCAAACAUAUCAAAAGAGUCAUCAACCUUCAUAACCUCAUUGCAGUUCCAAUAUAACAAAAGUCCUAGAAGCCUAAGCGAAGAGAGAGAAAAAAAAAAUCCCAAUAAGUCCUUUCCUUACUAAUUUUUUUGUUUUCAUGCUAUGCAUUCCUCUUCCAGAAUGGAGACCACUAUCGGGGCUGAGGAACUUUGUCUCAAAUGUCGUCAGUUGUAUACCCAUCAAAAACCAACUAUCAACAGAUAUUACAUGCUAAAUUUUAGAUAAUAGCUCUGAACUUACUUUUGGAAAAGUCAGCAUUAUCUAACAAGUCGUGAACAUCAACUAACUCGAGAAAGAACAAGACAAUGAAGUAAUAGCAAUGGAUAUACAGAAAGAACAAGACAAUGAAGAUACAGAAAGAGGAAUAAAUCUCGAUUUGGAGCCCUGGAUAUACAAUGACCAACCAUCAUAGCAAACACCUAUAAAUCCAUAUUGACUAAAAUUUUCAGCAUCUUUUCACACCAGAGACAAAGUGUUCGAUUACAAAACUGUGUGAAAAAGUUAAUCCAGCAUUGAUAUUGCUGAGACAAACUACAAAUCCAAUUUACAUACAAGUACACCUAGUUAUUGACUCAAAUGAACAGUUAAUAGUAAUAUGUAAGGUAGAUAAAUGACUGCUACAAUACUCCAUUGGACUUUGAAAGAUGAUAAUUACAUAUUUAACUUUAGUUCAAAGAGAAUAAACAAACAAGAAUUCUAUAUCACAUACAAUUUAUGGUUGUAUAUCCAUUCCAAAAACCACAAGAGCUACAAAAAUCUCAGCCAUUAAUCAAUACUAUCUAGGGCCAGAGAUCUGCUGUGAGGAGAUGUAAGAAAAGUAAUGUUGAGAGCCACUUGCUGAACUUGUACAGGAGGCAUUUGCUUGCUGAUACAACAUAACAUCACUUUCCCGUUCUUCUUCUUCUAUUGUAGAAGCCUCAGAAAACCUGCGGCCAUAGAAGCGUAAGAAAUUCAAAGACUCCAUUCUUGGCCGGGUUACUGGAAUCCUACCUUCCAACAUACCAACAACAGUAACCAUAUUUGGCCUUAAUGAUGGUUCUUCAUGAACACAACACAAAGCAAUACACACCAAUUUCUCCACCUCUUCACUCAUUACUCGUCCUUCCAACUUUGUGUCAGCAAGCUCCAGGUAUCUUCCUUGCUCGUGCAUCUCCAAUGCAUAUAGUGGAAAAUAAAUAAAUCUGGAUCCUGAUGAUGAAGAUUGGGAGCCACUACUGUUCUCAUCAUCCAUGCAAUGGCUUGGUGAUCGCAGUAGGCAGUUUUUCCUACCACUCACGAGUUCAAGCAAUACCAUCCCGAAACUAUAAACAUCAGUUUUCUCUGAAAUUGCUGAGUUAGUAAGCCAUUCAGGGGCAAGAUAGCCCCGAGUACCUCUCAUUGUCGUGAACAGGCUAGAUUGUUCAGGGCUUAGGAGUUUUGAAAGCCCGAAAUCAGAGAUUUUUGGCUGAAAAUGAUCAUGCAAGAGAAUGUUCUCUGGUUUGACGUCACAAUGGAUAAUCUUUUGUUCACAGCCACAGUGCAAGUAUGCAAGUGCACGUGCUGUCCCAAGUGCUAUAUCGAACCUUUCUUGCCAUUCUAUGACAGGUCCACUGCCAAAGAGAGUACGGUCCAGUGAACCACGGUUCAUAUACUCAUAAACCAAUAGUCUCCGUCCCCCUUGGGCACAAAACCCUCUCAACUUGACCAAAUUGACAUGGUGUAUAUUUCCAAUGACCGCAAUCUCAGUACAGAAAUCUUUUUUCCCUUGGACACCUAAAUUUGUUAUCUUCUUCACUGCCACAACAGAUUUAUCAGGCAGUAUACCUUUGUAGACAGAACCAAACCCA
rnacentral:lncRNA from 1 species